rnacentral:rRNA from 1 species
GACGAACGCUGGCGGCGUGCUUAACACAUGCAAGUCGAACGGAAAGGCCCUGCUUUUGUGGGGUGCUCGAGUGGCGAACGGGUGAGUAACACGUGAGUAACCUGCCCUUGACUUUGGGAUAACUUCAGGAAACUGGGGCUAAUACCGGAUAGGAGCUCCUGCUGCAUGGUGGGGGUUGGAAAGUUUCGGCGGUUGGGGAUGGACUCGCGGCUUAUCAGCUUGUUGGUGGGGUAGUGGCUUACCAAGGCUUUGACGGGUAGCCGGCCUGAGAGGGUGACCGGCCACAUUGGGACUGAGAUACGGCCCAGACUCCUACGGGAGGCAGCAGUGGGGAAUAUUGCACAAUGGGCGGAAGCCUGAUGCAGCAACGCCGCGUGCGGGAUGACGGCCUUCGGGUUGUAAACCGCUUUCGCCUGUGACGAAGCGUGAGUGACGGUAAUGGGUAAAGAAGCACCGGCUAACUACGUGCCAGCAGCCGCGGUGAUACGUAGGGUGCGAGCGUUGUCCGGAUUUAUUGGGCGUAAAGGGCUCGUAGGUGGUUGAUCGCGUCGGAAGUGUAAUCUUGGGGCUUAACCCUGAGCGUGCUUUCGAUACGGGUUGACUUGAGGAAGGUAGGGGAGAAUGGAAUUCCUGGUGGAGCGGUGGAAUGCGCAGAUAUCAGGAGGAACACCAGUGGCGAAGGCGGUUCUCUGGGCCUUUCCUGACGCUGAGGAGCGAAAGCGUGGGGAGCGAACAGGCUUAGAUACCCUGGUAGUCCACGCUGUAAACGGUGGGUACUAGGUGUGGGGUCCAUUCCACGGGUUCCGUGCCGUAGCUAACGCUUUAAGUACCCCGCCUGGGGAGUACGGCCGCAAGGCUAAAACUCAAAGGAAUUGACGGGGCCCCGCACAAGCGGCGGAGCAUGCGGAUUAAUUCGAUGCAACGCGUAGAACCUUACCUGGGUUUGACAUGGAUCGGGAGUGCUCAGAGAUGGGUGUUCCUCUUUUGGGGUCGGUUCACAGGUGGUGCAUGGCUGUCGUCAGCUCGUGUCGUGAGAUGUUGGGUUAAGUCCCGCAACGAGCGCAACCCUUGUUCACUGUUGCCAGCACGUUAUGGUGGGGACUCAGUGGAGACCGCCGGGGUCAACUCGGAGGAAGGUGGGGAUGACGUCAAGUCAUCAUGCCCCUUAUGUCCAGGGCUUCACGCAUGCUACAAUGGCUGGUACAGAGAGUGGCGAGCCUGUGAGGGUGAGCGAAUCUCGGAAAGCCGGUCUCAGUUCGGAUUGGGGUCUGCAACUCGACCUCAUGAAGUCGGAGUCGCUAGUAAUCGCAGAUCAGCAACGCUGCGGUGAAUACGUUCCCGGG